GAUUGCAGGCUGCAACCCGCCUGCAUGAAGUUGGAAUCGCUAGUAAUCGCGGAUCAGCAUGCCGCGGUGAAUACGUUCCCGGGCCUUGUACACACCGCCCGUCACACCAUGAGAGUCGGGGACACCCGAAGUCCGUAGUCUAACCGCAAGGGGGACGCGGCCGAAGGUGGAUUCGAUAAUUGGGGUGAAGUCGUAACAAGGUAAC
rnacentral:rRNA from 1 species